CUUUGCCUGCUAUCUCUUACCCAUGUCUUUUGAGUACUUACGUUUCCUCGGCGGGUCCGCCCGCCGAUUGGACAAAAUUAAACCCUUUGCAGUUGCAAUCAGCGUCUGAAAAACUUAAUAGUUACAACUUUCAACAACGGAUCUCUUGGUUCUGGCAUCGAUGAAGAACGCAGCGAAAUGCGAUAAGUAGUGUGAAUUGCAGAAUUCAGUGAAUCAUCGAAUCUUUGAACGCACAUUGCGCCCCUUGGUAUUCCAUGGGGCAUGCCUGUUCGAGCGUCAUUUGUACCUUCAAGCCUUGCUUGGUGUUGGGUGUUUGUCUCGCCUCUGCGUGUAGACUCGCCUCAAAACAAUUGGCAGCCGGCGUAUUGAUUUCGGAGCGCAGUACAUCUCGCGCUUUGCACUCAGAACGACGACGUCCAAAAGUACAUUUUUACACUCUUGACCUCGGAUCAGGUAGGGAUACCCGCUGAACUUAAGCAUAUCAU
rnacentral:rRNA from 1 species